rnacentral:rRNA from 2 species
CUUGCAUCAUGAUUUACAUUUGAGUGAGUGGCGAACUGGUGAGUAACACGUGGGAAACCUGCCCAGAAGCGGGGGAUAACACCUGGAAACAGAUGCUAAUACCGCAUAACAACUUGGACCGCAUGGUCCGAGUUUGAAAGAUGGCUUCGGCUAUCACUUUUGGAUGGUCCCGCGGCGUAUUAGCUAGAUGGUGGGGUAACGGCUCACCAUGGCAAUGAUACGUAGCCGACCUGAGAGGGUAAUCGGCCACAUUGGGACUGAGACACGGCCCAAACUCCUACGGGAGGCAGCAGUAGGGAAUCUUCCACAAUGGACGAAAGUCUGAUGGAGCAACGCCGCGUGAGUGAAGAAGGGUUUCGGCUCGUAAAACUCUGUUGUUAAAGAAGAACAUAUCUGAGAGUAACUGUUCAGGUAUUGACGGUAUUUAACCAGAAAGCCACGGCUAACUACGUGCCAGCAGCCGCGGUAAUACGUAGGUGGCAAGCGUUGUCCGGAUUUAUUGGGCGUAAAGCGAGCGCAGGCGGUUUUUUAAGUCUGAUGUGAAAGCCUUCGGCUCAACCGAAGAAGUGCAUCGGAAACUGGGAAACUUGAGUGCAGAAGAGGACAGUGGAACUCCAUGUGUAGCGGUGAAAUGCGUAGAUAUAU